rnacentral:rRNA from 1 species
UACGUAGGUGGCAAGCGUUGUCCGGAUUUAUUGGGUUUAAAGGGUGCGUAGGCGGUUAUAUAAGUCAGUGCUGAAAUAUCCCGGCUUAACCGGGAGGGUGGCAUUGAUACUGUAUGACUUGAGUAAAGUUGAGGUUGGCGGAAUUGACGGUGUAGCGGUGAAAUGCUUAGAUAUCGUCAAGAACACCGAUUGCGAAGGCAGCUAACUAAGCUUUAACUGACGCUGAGGCACGAAAGUGUGGGGAUCAAACAGG